rnacentral:rRNA from 1 species
AGAGUUUGAUCCUGGCUCAGGUUGAACGCUGGCGGCGUGCUUUACACAUGCAAGUCGAGCGGCAGCGCGACCUUCGGUUGGCGGCGAGCGGCGAACGGGUGAGUAAUACAUCGGAACGUACCUUUUAGUGGGGGAGUGACGCAUCGAAAGAUGUGCUAAUACCGCAUAAUCUCUGAGGAGGAAAGGCGGGGACUCGUAAGAGCCUGUCGCUGAAAGAGCGGCCGAUGGUCGAUUAGCUAGUUGGCGGGGUAAGUGGCCCACCAAGGCGAUGAUCGGUAGCGGGUCUGAGAGGACGAUCCGUCACACUGGGACUGAGACACGGCCCAAACUCCUACGGGAGGCGAC